rnacentral:rRNA from 1 species
UAGGGAAUCUUCGGCAAUGGACGGAAGUUUGACCGAGCAACGCCGCGUGAGUGAAGAAGGUUUUCGGAUCGUAAAGCUUUGUUGUUAGAGAAGAACGUUGGUAGGAGUGGAAAAUCUACCAAGUGACGGUAACUACCCAGAAAGGGACGGCUAACUACGUGCCAGCAGCCGCGGUAAUACGUAGGUCCCGAGCGUUGUCCGGAUUUAUUGGCCGUAAAGCGGGCGCAGGCGGUUCUUUAAGUCUGAAGUUAAAGGCGGUGGCUUAACCAUUGUACGCUGUGGGAACUGGAGGACUUGAAUGCAGAAGGGGAGAGUGGAAUUCCAUGUGUAGCGGUGAAAUGCGUAGAUAUAUGGAGACACACCGGUGGCGAAAACGGCUCUCUGGUCUGUAACUAACGCUGAGGCUCGAAAGCGUAGGGAGCAAACAGG